GACGAACGCUGGCGGCGUGCUUAACACAUGCAAGUCGAGCGGUAAGGCCCUUUCGGGGGUACGACGAGCGGCGAACGGGUGAGUAACACGUGGGUGACCUGCCCUCCAGUUCUGGGAGUAAGCCUGGGAAACCGGGUCUAAUACUGGAUAUGACCUCAUGACGCAUGUUGUGGGGUGGAAAGCCUUGUGCGACUGAGGAUGGGCCCGCGGCCUAUCAGCUUGUUGGUGGGGUGAUGGCCUACCAAGGCGACGACGGGUAGCCGGCCUGAGAGGGCGACCGGCCACACUGGGACUGAGACACGGCCCAGACUCCUACGGGAGGCAGCAGUGGGGAAUCUUGCGCAAUGGGCGAAAGCCUGACGCAGCGACGCCGCGUGAGGGAUGACGGCCU
rnacentral:rRNA from 1 species